GACAGCAGCAGCCGCGGUAAUACGUAGGGUGCAAGCGUUAAUCGGAAUUACUGGGCGUAAAGCGUGCGCAGGCGGUUAUAUAAGACAGAUGUGAAAUCCCCGGGCUCAACCUGGGAACUGCAUUUGUGACUGUAUAGCUAGAGUACGGCAGAGGGGGAUGGAAUUCCGCGUGUAGCAGUGAAAUGCGUAGAUAUGCGGAGGAACACCGAUGGCGAAGGCAAUCCCCUGGGCCUGUACUGACGCUCAUGCACGAAAGCGUGGGGAGCAAACAGGAUUAGAUACCCCAGUAGUCCCUGUCUCUUAUAC
rnacentral:rRNA from 1 species